rnacentral:misc_RNA from 1 species
UCCUGGUUGGCCCAGGCAGUCUCGCAUGAAAAAUACAACAUACGAUAAGGGUUGCGCUCGUUGCGGGACUUAACCCAACAUCUCACGACACGAGCUUUCGACGGCCAUGCAACACCUGUCACUGAGUUCCCGAAGGCACUCCUCUGUUUCCAGUGGAUUCUCAGGAUGUCAAGCCUUGGUGAGGUUUUACGCGUAUCGUCAUAUUAAACCACAUCAUCCUCCGCUUGUGCGGGUCCCCGUCAAUUCCUUUGAGUUUUAGCCUUGCGGCCGUACUUCCCAGGCGGCAUACUUAACGCGUUAGCUUCGCCACGCAGGGGGUCGAUACCCCACACGGCUAGUAUGCAUCGUUUACGGCGUGGACUAC